rnacentral:misc_RNA from 1 species
UCACCCCUCAAGCCCCGUGCUUGGUGUUGGACGGCCGGUCGAGCGAUCGACCCCUCCCAAAGACAAUGACGGCGGCCUGCGGUUCCCCCGGUACACUGAGCUUUCGCGAGCACGUGCCGGACAAGGGCGCCCGGGCCCCGGUCCUCUCCCCCCAGCGGGAAACUUUCUAU